UACGUAGGGGGCAAGCGUUGUCCGGAUUCAUUGGGCGUAAAGAGCGUGUAGGCGGCCAGGUAGGUCGGUUGUGAAAAAUGGAGGCUCAACCUUCAGAGGUCGACCGAAACCAUCUGGCUAGAGUCCGGGAGAGGAGAGUGGAAUUCCUGGUGUAGCGGUGAAAUGCGCAGAUAUCAGGAAGAACACCCGUGGCGAAAGCGGCUCUCUGGAACGGUACUGACGCUGAGACGCGAAAGCGUGGGGAGCAAACAGG
rnacentral:rRNA from 1 species